UACGUAGGGGCCGAGCGUUGUCCGGAGUUAUUGGGCGUAAAGCGCGCGCAGGCGGCUUGGCGCGCCCGACGUGAAAGCCCCCGGCUUAACCGGGGAGGGUCGUCGGGUACGGCCAGGCUUGAGGGCGGGAGAGGGUGGUGGAAUUCCCGGUGUAGUGGUGAAAUGCGUAGAGAUCGGGAGGAACACCUGUGGCGAAGGCGGCCACCUGGGCCGACCCUGACGCUGAGGCGCGAAAGCGUGGGGAGCAAACGGG
rnacentral:rRNA from 1 species